rnacentral:rRNA from 1 species
GACGAACGCUGGCGGCGUGCCUAAUACAUGCAAGUCGAGCGGACUUUCAAGAAGCUUGCUUUUUGAAAGUUAGCGGCGGACGGGUGAGUAACACGUGGGCAACCUGCCUGCAAGACGGGGAUAACUCCGGGAAACCGGGGCUAAUACCGGAUAAUAUCUUCCUUCGCAUGAAGGAAGGUUGAAAGGCGGCGCAAGCUGCCGCUUGCAGAUGGGCCCGCGGCGCAUUAGCUAGUUGGUGAGGUAACGGCUCACCAAGGCAACGAUGCGUAGCCGACCUGAGAGGGUGAUCGGCCACACUGGAACUGAGACACGGCCCAGACUCCUACGGGAGGCAGCAGUAGGGAAUCUUCCGCAAUGGGCGAAAGUCUGACGGAGCAACGCCGCGUGAGGGAAGAAGGUCUUCGGAUCGUAAAGCUCUGUUAUCAGGGAAGAACAAGUCCGUUAGGAACAGGGCGGUACUUGAAGGGUACUGAACAGAAAACCACGGGUAAACAAGGG